ACAAGAUGGCAGCCACCAUGGGCUCAGACAAUUUAUGAAAACUAAAUGUAUGGCUUUAAUCUAGAAUGUGGACCUAAAUACCGAGAAAUGUCACCCCUUUUAAGAUUUAUAACAAAAAUUAAUAUAAACGGAGUUAAUAGUUCUAAUGUAGUGGUGGAUCCAAAAGCUCUAUCAGUGCUAGCAAAAAAGUAGAAUUUAUAUAGCUUCUAAGUUGUUCUGCAACAACUUUGGCACCUAAUGAUGUCUAAAUAAAAUAUAAAGCUUCUUCAGCUGCCUGAAGAACAAUCAAAAAGAAAAACACUUCUUCUUUAUAACAAGAGAAGUGUUGAAAGGCACUUCUCUUUCUACCCCAUUUUAUUAAAACAAUCUUCAUUUUCCACAGCAGUAAAUUUUCCAGAUACAUCUUGCAGACCACAAAAUACUAGAAAGGAACCUCUCAUUCAAAGGCAAUUUAUUUUAAGAUACUGUAAAUGA
rnacentral:lncRNA from 1 species